rnacentral:rRNA from 1 species
GACGAACGCUGGCGGCGUGCCUAACACAUGCAAGUCGAGCGGACCGACCCCGUUUCUUCGGAGAUGGGACAGGUUAGCGGCGAACGGGUGAGUAACACGUGGGCAAUCUGCCCCGAAGACCGGGAUAACUCCGGGAAACCGGUGCUAAUACUGGAUACCUUGGUCUCACCGCAUGAUGAGAUCAAGAAAAGGUUGCUUUGCUUCCGCUUCGGGAUGAGCCCGCGGCCCAUUAGCUUGUUGGUGAGGUAACGGCUCACCAAGGCUACGAUGGGUAGCCGGCCUGAGAGGGUGUACGGCCACACUGGGACUGAGAUACGGCCCAGACUCCUACGGGUGGCAG